AAUUUUGGACAAUGGGGGCAACCCUGAUCCAGCCAUCCCGCGUGUGCGAUGAAGGCCUUCGGGUUGUAAAGCACUUUUGGCAGGGAAGAAAAGGCGCAGGCUAAUACCCUGUGCUGCUGACGGUACCUGCAGAAUAAGCACCGGCUAACUACGUGCCAGCAGCCGCGGUAAUACGUAGGGUGCAAGCGUUAAUCGGAAUUACUGGGCGUAAAGCGUGCGUCGGCGGUUUGGCAAGAAAGGUGUGAAAUCCCAGAGCUUAACUUUGGAACUGCACUUUUAACUGCCAGGCUAGAGUAUGUCAGAGGGGGGUAGAAUUCCGCGUGUAGCAGUGAAAUGCGUAGGGAUGCGGAGGAAUACCGAUGGCGAAGGCAGCCCCCUGGGAUAAUACUGACACUGAGGUGCGAAAGCUAGGGGAGCAAAC
rnacentral:rRNA from 1 species